rnacentral:tRNA from 1 species
GUCCCGUUCGUCUAGAGGUUUAGGACACCGCCCUUUCACGGCGGCAACACGGGUUCGAAUCCCGUAGGGGACG